rnacentral:tRNA from 1 species
CAAAAAAUAGUUUAUAAAAACAAUAACUUUGGAAGUUAUAAAUCGAUUUUCUUCGUUUUUUGA